GAAAGGUUUGCAGGAACCUAACUCUAUAUUUCCCAUAGGCACAAUGGUUUAGUAUUCACUAAUUCAAUAUUCAUGAAAAAUUUACAGAAUGUAACUAUCAUGAAUAAAGAGAAUUGACUGUAUUUUAUUUAAUAUGGUUGUUGUCUAUUAUUCCCUCACUCUCUUCAUCCCUCUCAAUUUCUUGCACCCUUAUUCAUAUGACUUUUUGCCCCCCCAUGUGCUGGAGCUUAAUCACAAAAACUGUUCCUGGUAUAAUAGCAUCUUGAUGUUUUCCAAAAUUGCAAAAAGGCAAAUAUUUUAUAAUAGUAAUAUAUUACUGCCUGGCCGAACUGGUAGAACCCCACAUAACUAACCAUUGAAGUGAGACUAAUGCUGCCGUUGUUCCACAAUGCAGAAGAAAAUUGAACUGAGAGUCCUAUACCGAUUUGGAGUCUCUAUAUGAUGGUGUAAGUGCUGAAAGAAUAUAUGCUAAAAAAUUUUUCCAAAUACUAAUAAUAAGGCAGUUGGGUAAUACGAAAAGACUUCACUCAAGUUCCCUGACUGUUUAAGUAUUGGGAUAAUUAUCAUUUCUGUCCAAGUGGUAGAAUGACCUUUACAGGAUUGGAUAUGAGCCAAUUGAGCCUUGUAUUGAGGAAAAAUGAAAUCAUGAAAAGGCUAAUAAAUGAAGAAUAAUGGUUUAGAUUUACUGUUAUGACUGGACUUUUACACAUCUAAUUUUGUAGAUCCACAAAAAAAUUUUUCUUGGAAAAAUUGAAUGUGAACGAAUCA
rnacentral:lncRNA from 1 species